rnacentral:lncRNA from 1 species
CCCCAUAAUUAUUAUCUCAUAGACUCAUUCUACCUUGAAAUGUGUGAUGUGAUGGUAACAUAUCAAGUUACUCCAAAGCUCUCUCUCCUCAUUUAAUACAUGCAUACCACAUCACCAGAUUGCUUAGUUGGCGUUCUAUGUUAUCACCUAUGUUAUUCCCACUACGAGUAGUCCGGUGAAUGCAUUUUGCUUUUUUUUAUUGGUUGGAUUGCACAUUGUAUUUCGUCAAAAUAUAUUCUGCCAUUAUGACCACACCGAAUAGUUUCGACUUCGUCGCAGGGUCAGUGAUGCGCUAGCUAGAUCUUCUUGAUUCUGUCUGGGCGGAUCUAGGAUCGUCAUUCAGCCCUCUUCGUUGCUUUCUAUAGGAUGUUGGUUUGUUUCUCGUAUCAUUGUUGCCGGCGUUUUUUGGUUCUGACCAGUGACUUUCCAUCUGCUAUGUUUUCAACAACUUUUUUUUUUGCUCCGACGUGUUUAGAACUCUAGAAGCAACAUCGAGAUUCGCUCAUGUGCCACCUGUGAGUGCAGAAGGAAGAUGACAUCUUUUUUGUUUUCACACAAAAAUUUGAAUAAUUCUCUUUUAGUUUAAGGAUAGUGCUAUAAAAUUUGGAUAAUUUAAUAUAUGGCCUUAUCUUUCACACGAAGUUUCCUCUUCCUCGAGAAAAAAAGAAGAGAAAAAAUUGUGUGACGACUUGA